rnacentral:lncRNA from 1 species
GCCUAACUUUGACCACCAGAAAUGCAAUUUUACAUCAGGAUUAAGCAUGCAUAUUAUAGUCACAUAUAGGUUGUAUUGUCUGUACUGCGCUGGAGAACUCAGAACUGCUGUUUCAAUCUGGUUUUGCGUUGGUGAUUAGGGAAGAAUGAUUCCCCAGUAUCACUCUGCAAAGAGAAUCAAUGUGUUGAAACAAGAACAUUUCAGUGACAUUGGAAAGUCUUUUUUCUUGCACAUCAUUCAUGUUACAUCACACUGGUUUAUUUUAAACAGGAUGUCACUGUCAGCAAAUUCCUUGUGUAUGUAUGCUCACAUGUGUUCAGAUGUUCACUAUUAUUUCACAUGUGUGUGUUCCUCUUUUUGAAAAAAAAAAUAGCAGAGAACUAAGCAUUGUUGAUAAUAUUCCUGCUUUACUUUUUCAAGUCUUCUGAACGGAUUCAAGCUUUUAGUGGCGAUUAGUACUGUGUAAAGAAAAAGUUCAUCCACCCACAUCAUAAUUACUUGGUUGUUAGGAGUAUUUUUAGCAGCACAAUUUGGUAAAUGGUUCCAAAUACAAUAGUUUAGAAAGAGACACUGUGGCCCAGCAAACAGUGAAACAAGAGUACAAGGAGGGGAUGAAGCAACACACAGCAUCAGAUGUCAGGAUGGAGCUGCGCAGAGCUCCCACCACCCUCGUUGUUGCAGGUGGGUGGAAGGAGAAAGAAUGUGAAAUAGUGGAUCUGUGGUCCUUCCCUUGCUCACACGGCAAGACAGCUGCUCAGGCAAGUCAGCAGGUGAGUGCUGUAAUCACCACAGACCCAGUAGCAUCACUCCCUGAAGCAAAGCCAUGAAUGAACACAAUGACCCUUACUCAUGGUCGAUUAUUAUCUCAUAGUCUACUCUGGGAACAGACUUGCUGCUGGCACAGCCCAAAUUGCAUUAUUCUUUUUAGGGAACAUCUUUCCUUCUGGAGGUGCCUUCCUGGGGAGAAGAUAGCUAGGAAGAAAGACUUGACAGUAAUUUCCAAAGAGAUUACUUUCACGCCUGAACUUUGUUGGGAAAAGGUCUCAAGCCAUUGAGCAAUGUCUGGUUUGGGCAAUCAUGUUGCUAUGCUUCAUCGGAUAAGCACAGCAGUAAUUCAGAAAAUGAAGCCAUGCUGCAUCUGUCAUAUCAUUUAAAAUUGACUUCAGUUUUGCAGGUAUUUGAAGAUUGCAAAAUGACACACAUUUUACUGCAAUAUUCUGCCAACACUGGAGUCUGGUCUGAACCUAAUGGAUUUCCUUAUCUUUAGCUUUCCAGAGUGAGAGAAGUUUCCUCUUUCCCCGCCCUGACCCUGCCCUACAAUAUAUUCCAGUC